rnacentral:rRNA from 1 species
AGCAGCCGCGGUAAUUCCAGCUCCAAUAGCGUAUAUUAAAGUUGUUGCAGUUAAAAAGCUCGUAGUUGAAUUUCGGGAUCAAGUUGUUGGUCGUGCCUCGGUACGCACUGGUGACAUUGGUUUCUCCCUUCUGAAGAACCUUGAUGUCAUUAAUUUGGUGUCUUGGGGAAUCAGGACUGUUACUUUGAAAAAAUUAGAGUGUUUAAAGCAGGCUCACGCUUGAAUACAUUAGCAUGGAAUAAUGAAAUAGGACGUUUGAUUCUAUUUUGUUGGUUUCUAGGAUCGACGUAAUGAUUAAUAGGGAUAGUUGGGGGCAUUAGUAUUCAAUUGUCAGAGGUGAAAUUCUUGGAUUUAUUGAAGACUAACUACUGCGAAAGCAUUUGCCAAGGAUGUUUUCAUUAAUCAAGAACGAAAGUUAGGGGAUCGAAGACGAUCAGAUACCGUCGUAGU